rnacentral:lncRNA from 13 species
UUACAGGCAUGAACCACUGUGCCAGGUCUUAAUUUAUAGCAAUUACUUAUUUUUUUAUUGCUCUACUUUUUGGUGUUGUUGAAGAUAAUGGAUCUUCUAGUUAUUAGUGCUAUGUAACAAACUACCCUAAACUUAGUGUCAUAAAACCACCACCAAUUUAUUGUGCUUACAGAUUCUGUGGGGCAGGAAUUCAGAAAUGGCGCAGUUGGGAAUGGCUUCUCUCUGCUCUAAGCUGUCUGGGGACUCAGCUGGGAAGAUUCAGCCUGAGGAUGACUUCACAAUUGGGAAAUAGAAGCAGCUGAAGGAUUGUUUACUCACGUGUCAGUGGCUGGGACUGAUGCAUUCAGAAACUAGGACUGCUGACCACAGCACCUACACAUGGCCUCUCUCUGUGUCUUGGCUUUCUCACAAAAUGGCAAGUCACACUUCUUACAUGGCAGCUUAGGGAUACAAAUGCAAGUGUUCCAGCCACAAGGACACAGGCAACGUGACUGGCCUUGUAUACCUAGGCCAGCAGCUCUGAGUGACUCUGCCACAAGUGGUGGAGCUCUGGUCCUGAGCCAUCCUGCCUCUGCCCUUUGGUGA